rnacentral:rRNA from 1 species
UACGUAGGGGGCGAGCGUUGUCCGGAGUUACUGUUCGUAAAGUGCACGCAGGCGGUCUGCUACGUUUGGAGUGACAGUUGGUGGCUUAACUGCCAAAGUGCUUCGAAAACUGACAGACUUGAGGGCUUCAGAGGGACACGGAAUUCCGGGUGGAGUGGUGAAAUGCGUAGAGAUCCGGAGGAACACCAAAGGCGAAGGCAGUGUCCUGGGGAGUACCUGACGCUCAGGUGCGAAAGCCAGGGGAGCGAACGGG